rnacentral:rRNA from 1 species
GUUGAACGCUGGCGGCAGGCUUAACACAUGCAAGUCGAGCGGUAACAGGAGAAGCUUGCUUCUCGCUGACGAGCGGCGGACGGGUGAGUAAUACUUAGGAAUCUACCUAGUAGUGGGGGAUAGCUCGGGGAAACUCGAAUUAAUACCGCAUACGACCUACGGGAGAAAGGGGGCAACUUGUUGCUCUCGCUAUUAGAUGAGCCUAAGUCGGAUUAGCUAGAUGGUGGGGUAAAGGCCUACCAUGGCGACGAUCUGUAGCUGGUCUGAGAGGAUGAUCAGCCACACCGGGACUGAGACACGGCCCGGACUCCUACGGGAGGCAGCAGUGGGGAAUAUUGGACAAUGGGGGCAACCCUGAUCCAGCCAUGCCGCGUGUGUGAAGAAGGCCUUUUGGUUGUAAAGCACUUUAAGCAGUGAAGAAGACUCCAUGGUUAAUACCCAUGGACGAUGACAUUAGCUGCAGAAUAAGCACCGGCUAACUCUGUGCCAGCAGCCGCGGUAAUACAGAGGGUGCAAGCGUUAAUCGGAAUUACUGGGCGUAAAGCGAGCGUAGGUGGCUUGAUAAGUCAGAUGUGAAAGCCCCGGGCUUAACCUGGGAACGGCAUCUGAUACUGUUAGGCUAAAGUAGGUGAGAGGAAGGUAGAAUUCCAGGUGUAGCCGGUGAAAUGCGUAGAGAUCUGGAGGAAUACCGAUGGCGAAGGCAGCCUUCUGGCAUCAUACUGACACUGAGGUUCGAAAGCGUGGGUAGCAAACAGGAUUAGAUACCCUGGUAGUCCACGCCGUAAACGAUGUCUACUAGUCGUUGGGUCCCUUGAGGACUUAGUGACGCAGCUACGCAAUAAGUAAAC